GGAGAUGGAUGCGUCACUGGUGGGCGCCCCGGACUUCAAACCCGCGCGUGCGGCACUAACACUGUCGUAGAUAGGUUCGAUUCCUAUACUUCUCCGCCA
rnacentral:tRNA from 1 species